UGAAUACACAUAACAUUCUUUACUGUUUUAAGUAUUUUAACGAAAAAAGUGGAAUUUAAACAACUGAAAUGUAUUCAAGAAUUCUACAAAGAUAUUAUUAGCCAGACGAAUUACAACGUGAAAAAUCCAAGACUUUAUAAAGACAACGAACGUUUAACACAAAAUAUAUCAUCGGAAGACUUCAA
rnacentral:lncRNA from 1 species